rnacentral:rRNA from 1 species
UGGGGAAUAUUGCGCAAUGGGCGAAAGCCUGACGCAGCAACGCCGCGUGAGUGAUGAAGGCCUUCGGGUCGUAAAGCUCUGUUGUACGGGAAGAAAUGCUCACGACUAAUACUCAUGAGUUUUGACGGUACCGUAUCAGAAAGGACCGGCUAACUUCGUGCCAGCAGCCGCGGUAAGACGAGGGGUCCUAGCGUUGUUCGGAAUCACUGGGCGUAAAGCGUAUGUAGGCGGCUUUCUAAGUCGGUCGUGAAAUCCCAUGGCUUAACCAUGGAAUUGCGUUCGAAACUGGAGAGCUUGAGUGUGGGAGAGAUUGGUAGAAUACCUGGUGUAGUGGUGAAAUACGUAGAUAUCAGGUGGAAUACCGGUGCGAAGGCGGCCAAUUGGCCCAACACUGACGCUGAGAUACGAAAGCGUGGGGAUCAAACAGGAUUAGAUACCCACGUAGUCCCUGAGCGGGCUGGCAAGGCGCAU